UACAGAGGAGCCAAGCGUUGUCCGGAUUGACUGGGCGUAAAGCGCACGCAGGCGGUGGUGCGCGUGGGGUGUGAAAUCUGGCCGCUUAACGGCCAGGCGCCAUCCCAUACGGCACGACUGGAGGGCUGCAGAGGUCGAUGGAAUUGCCGGUGUAGUGGUGAAAUGCGUAGAGAUCGGCAGGAACACCCAGGGGGAAACCAGUCGACUGGGCAGCACCUGACGCUGAGGUGCGAGAGCGUGGGGAGUGAACCGG
rnacentral:rRNA from 1 species